rnacentral:rRNA from 1 species
AUGAGUACCUGUUUCUCUGACAUGAUUAAAGAUCAUUCCCUGGAUUUCAUUUGCCUUCAAGAGACUAUGAAAAAAACCUUUCCUCCUAAAAGUCUUAGAAAAAUAGAUCCUGCGAAUAGAUUUGAUUGGAAUUGGGUUCCAUCAAUCGGUGAGGAAGGUGGUAUCCUUUGUGGUAUUAAGAAAGAAACUUUAGAAGUUGUCUCCUGGACUCCUGGUAGGUUUUGCUUGCAAGCCAACCUAUAUGAUGUUAACCUUAAGAUUGUCUGGGCUCUCAUUACGGUCUAUGGAGUGGCCCAUGAUGACAAAAAAGAUGACUUCCUUGUGGAGUUAGCCUCGAUGUGUGCUCACACGUAA